ACAUGCAUAUGUUGAAGCUAGAGGCACUGGAGUGAUGGAUUCUGCCUAGGGCAAGACAGGACUUGAUUCUUGCUGGAGGAGCCAUCUGAGUUUGUGAAGGGCAAGGAGAGUGCAUGGGCCGAGAAAGGUGCUCCCAGGAGUGAUCCCUAAGGCAGCCAACAGUACCCCACUGUGCAGAUAAGAGAAAGAAACCGACGCAAAGGAAGUCUUCCUAACCAAAUUCCAUAGUGUAAAAAGCAAUGAUUUGGAAAUUGGAAGGCCUGGACUCUGACUUGGGGUCUGGAAUUCUCUCUCCAGGUGACCUUGGAAGCUGCAUGAAGACAGGGGUCUCAUCUGCCUUGGACAUCACUGAAUCCUAUGCACGGAGCACAAUGCCUGGAACGGGAGGAGCUCAAUGGUUACUGGUUGAAUUAAUACACUGAGGAAAUGGAUCAGCUGUAGACAACCUUACUUUGUUCUCUCAUAUCUCUUUCCCACCUGCUGGCCCUGCCUUUCCAUUUAAAUCCAGAGCCAAGCACACAUUCCUUACUAUAUAUUUUUUUGUACUGAUUAAAAUGUUUCAUAAACUUUUACCACA
rnacentral:lncRNA from 1 species